AGUGAACGCUGGCGGUAGGCCUAACACAUGCAAGUCGAACGGCAGCACAGUAAGAGCUUGCUCUUACGGGUGGCGAGUGGCGGACGGGUGAGGAAUACAUCGGAAUCUACUUUUUCGUGGGGGCUAACGUAGGGAAACGUACGCUAAUACCGCAUACGACCUACGGGGGAAAGCAGGGGAUCUUCGGACCUUGCGCGAGUGAAUGAGCCGAUGUCGGAGUAGCUAGUUGGCGGGGUAAAGGCCCACCAAGGCGACGAUCCGUAGCUGGUCUGAGAGGAUGAUCAGCCACACGGGAACUGAGACACGGCCCAGACUCUUACGCGAGGCCGCAGUGGGGAAUCUUGGACGAUGGGCGCAAGCCUGAUCCAGCCAUACCGCGUGGGUGAAGAAGGCCUUCGGGUUGUAAAGCCCUUUUGUUGGGAAAGAAAAGCAGCAGGUUAAUACCCCGCUGUUCUGACGGUACCCAAAGAAUAAGCACCGGCUAACUUCGUG
rnacentral:rRNA from 1 species